rnacentral:rRNA from 1 species
CAGUAGCCGCGGUAAGACAGAGGAUGCAAGCGUUAUCCGGAAUGAUUGGGCGUAAAGGGCUCGCAGGCGGUUUCUUAAGUCUGAUGUGAAAGCCCCCGGCUCAACCGGGGAGGGUCAUUGGAAACUGGGAAACUUGAGUGCAGAAGAGGAGAGUGGAAUUCCACGUGUAGCGGUGAAAUGCGUAGAGAUAUGGAGGAACACCAGUGGCGAAGGCGACUCUCUGGUCUGUAACUGACGCUGAGGAGCGAAAGCUAGGGGAGCAAAUGGGAUUAGAGACCCCGGUAGUCCCUGUCUCUUAUAC